UACGUAGGGUGCAAGCGUUGUCCGGAAUUACUGGGCGUAAAGAGCUCGUAGGUGGUUUGUCGCGUUGUUCGUGAAAACUCACAGCUCAACUGUGGGCGUGCGGGCGAUACGGGCAGACUGGAGUACUGCAGGGGAGACUGGAAUUCCUGGUGUAGCGGUGGAAUGCGCAGAUAUCAGGAGGAACACCGGUGGCGAAGGCGGGUCUCUGGGCCGAUACUGACGCUGAGGAGCGAAAGCGUGGGGAGCGAACAGG
rnacentral:rRNA from 1 species